rnacentral:miRNA from 11 species
GAUGAGUGGGGAUCGUUAGUCGCG